UCAAAAACAUUGCGCGCAUCCGCCCCUACCUAACGCCAGAUGCGACUAAGGUGUUGGUCCAUUCCACUGUCCUUGCUCGCCUUGACUACUGUAAUCCGCUUCUCAGUGGUCUUACGUGCUCCCAACUAGCACUGUUACAGUCCAUAAUGAAUGCGGCGGUGAGGCUCAUCUUCCUGUCCACCCGCACUUCCCAUGCCUCACCCUUCUGUCAGUCCCUGCCUUGG
rnacentral:lncRNA from 1 species